AUGCAAGUCGAGCGGUAACAGGUGUAGCAAUACAUGCUGACGAGCGGCGAACGGGUGAGUAAUGCUUCGGAAUCUGCCCAAUGGUGGGGAAUAACCAGCCGAAAGGUUGGCUAAUACCGCAUAAGUCCUACGGGGGAAAGCAGGGGAUCGCAAGACCUUGCGCCGAUGGAUGAGCCGAAGUCGGAUUAGCUAGUUGGUAGGGUAACGGCCUACCAAGGCGACGAUCCGUAGCUGGUCUGAGAGGACGACCAGCCACACUGGGACUGAGACACGGCCCAGACUCCUACGGGAGGCAGCAGUGGGGAAUAUUGGACAAUGGGGGAAACCCUGAUCCAGCGACGCCGCGUGUGUGAAGAAGGCCUGCGGGUUGUAAAGCACUUUUAGUGGGGAUGAAAAGCUCAGGGCUAAUACCUCUGGGUCUUGACCUAACCCAAAGAAAAAGCACCGGCUAACUCUGUGCCAGCAGCCGCGGUAAUACAGAGGGUGCGAGCGUUAAUCGGAAUUACUGGGCGUAAAGCGUGCGUAGACGGUUAUGUAAGUCGGGUGUGAAAGC
rnacentral:rRNA from 1 species